UUAUAUCAUUUUCUUUUUAGAUUUCUGGGGUCGUUACAGUUGGUAUCAUAGCCGCGUUCCUCAGACCCGUCCCUUACACAAUAAUACUUAGAGAAACACCAAACAAUGAAUUAUCACUCAAUCCUUCCUUGUGAAAUGUAGGUACAGAGAGAUGAAAAGAGUAAGACCCCCACUAAACCGAGCAGCCGGGGGGGGUUCGCUCAGAGAAGACGUGGAUAGAAUAUUUGAGAUGUUAGAAGGACUCAUUGCGGCCCAACAGGGCCGAGAGGAGAGGAGGGAGCUACCUGACCCUCCCC
rnacentral:lncRNA from 1 species